UGGCAGUGGAAAUUGAGACGUUCUCUAUGCAUCCACACAACAGGUACAGCACAAGUAGCAGCAGUGCAAGAUUCUUUGCAAUGCUUUUGUGUGUUGGUCCAGAUUUAGGCCCAAUUCUACGUAAGUAGCUCCAUUACUCAAUGUGAGUAAAAGGGUACAGAAUUGAGUCCUUAGACCUGUAGGCCUUGUCUACA
rnacentral:sRNA from 1 species